rnacentral:tRNA from 1 species
UGUGGGCAUAGUCUAGGGGUCAGGACAGGGGCUUCCCAAGCCUCUGGCGCGGGUUCGAAUCCCGCUGCCCGCAU